rnacentral:rRNA from 1 species
UGGGGAAUAUUGCACAAUGGGCGCAAGCCUGAUGCAGCAACGCCGCGUGAACGAUGAAGGUCUUCGGAUCGUAAAGUUCUGUUGCAGGGGAAGAUAAUGACGGUACCCUGUGAGGAAGCCCCGGCUAACUACGUGCCAGCAGCCGCGGUAAUACGUAGGGGGCUAGCGUUAUCCGGAUUUACUGGGCGUAAAGGGUGCGUAGGUGGUCCUUCAAGUCGGUGGUUAAAGGCUACGGCUCAACCGUAGUAAGCCGCCGAAACUGGAGGACUUGAGUGCAGGAGAGGAAAGUGGAAUUACCAGUGUAGCGGUGAAAUGCGUAGAUAUUGGGAGGAACAACAGUAGCGAGGGCGGCUUUCUGGACUGCAACUGACACUGAGGCACGAAAGCGUGGGUAGCAAACAGG